rnacentral:rRNA from 1 species
UACGUAGGGCGCAAGCGUUGUCCGGAAUUAUUGGGCGUAAAGAGCUCGUAGGCGGUUUGUCGCGUCUGCUGUGAAAACGCGGGGCUUAACCCCGGGCCUGCAGUGGGUACGGGCAGACUAGAGUGCGGUAGGGGAGACUGGAAUUCCUGGUGUAGCGGUGGAAUGCGCAGAUAUCAGGAGGAACACCGAUGGCGAAGGCGGGUCUCUGGGCCGUUACUGACGCUGAGGAGCGAAAGCAUGGGGAGCGAACAGG